GGACUACCCGGGUUUCUAAUCCUGUUCGCUCCCCACGCUUUCGCUCCUCAGCGUCAGUUACGGCCCAGAGACCCGCCUUCGCCACCGGUGUUCCUCCUGAUAUCUGCGCAUUUCACCGCUACACCAGGAAUUCCAGUCUCCCCUGCCGAACUCGAGCAUGCCCGUAUCGAAUGCAGGCCCGCGGUUGAGCCGCGGGGUUUCACAUCCGACGUGACACGCCGCCUACGAGCUCUUUACGCCCAAUAAUUCCGGACAACGCUUGCACCCUACGUAUUACCGCGGCUGCUGGCAC
rnacentral:rRNA from 1 species